UACGUAGGUGGCAAGCGUUAUCCGGAUUUACUGGGUGUAAAGGGCGUGUAGGCGGGACUGCAAGUCAGAUGUGAAAUUCCAGGGCUCAACCCUGGAACUGCAUUUGAAACUGUAGUUCUUGAGUGAUGGAGAGGCAGGCGGAAUUCCGUGUGUAGCGGUGAAAUGCGUAGAUAUACGGAGGAACACCAGUGGCGAAGGCGGCCUGCUGGACAUUAACUGACGCUGAGGCGCGAAAGCGUGGGGAGCAGACAGG
rnacentral:rRNA from 1 species